UACGGAGGGUGCGAGCGUUGUCCGGAAUCAUUGGGCGUAAAGGGCGCGUAGGUGGCGGGACAAGCGUGCGGUGAAAGCCUGGGGCUCAACCCCGGGUCGGCCGUGCGAACUGUUUUGCUUGAGCACUGUAGAGGCAGGCGGAAUUCCGGGUGUAGCGGUGGAAUGCGUAGAGAUCCGGAAGAACACCAGUGGCGAAGGCGGCCUGCUGGGCAGUUGCUGACGCUGAGGCGCGACAGCGUGGGGAGCAAACAGG
rnacentral:rRNA from 1 species